GGGGACGACAUGGCUUCGACGGGGGUCAAGGAAUCGAGGGUCGCAUGCCGAGGUUGUCUGGAACCUCGUUAAAUAUCCGGGCAAACAAUUUAAACGCAGACAACUAUGCGUAUGCUGUUGCUGCCUAAUUAAACACUAGGUAGCACGCUUGUGCCGAACGCGCCAUCCGGGAGGACACAAGCGACGACUCUGGUGGCUGGCUUCCCGCUGUGUCUGGGUGCGGGCGGCGAGAUUCUACAGGCUGGCGCGCGACGACCCUUGUUGAUUGAGGUCGCAAACGCGAGAUCGAUCAAUCAAAUAAACAUGUAGAAGCUCUCCUUGACUGACCUUCGGACGCGGGUUCGAUUCCCGCCGUCUCCACUG
rnacentral:tmRNA from 1 species